CUUCUAUCACCACUUACUAACAAAGAGAAAGAUAAAUGCGUAGUUGUAUUAAAUCACUGGUGAGGGAGGGAAGGUGCCUAGUGAGUAAGAGCUAUCGGUGUACAAGCAUGAGAACAUGAGUUCAAAUCCCCAGCACUCAGGUAAAGAGUUGGUCACAGCCAUACAUACCUACAACCCCAGCAGUAUCAGGGGCAGAAAUAAGAAAAUCAGUGAAUCUCGCAGACUCCCAGCCAAGUUAAGUGGAAGAGCCUGUCUCAAAAGGAAUAGAGUGAGAGGUAUCAGAAGAAGACACCUGACACACUGUCCUCUAGCCUCUACAAGGAGGCCAUGUAAGUAUUCCCACACACAUAUAACACACACACACAAACAAACACACACACACGUACAUAUAACAUACAUACACACACAGGUACAUAUAACACACAUACACACACACACAUGUACAUAUAACACACACAAACACAUACAUGUACAUAUAACACACACACACAUGUACAUAUAACACACACAAACACACACAUGUACAUAUAACACACAUACACACACACGUACAUAUAACACACAUACACACACACAUGUACAUAUAACACACAAACACACACAUGUACAUAUAACACACACACACACACACACACACAAAAGCUUCUGUUCCCCUAACCCGAGUGUGUUCUGGCUCUGCUAGGAAUUAACCUAAUCUGUUUCUCAGUGC
rnacentral:lncRNA from 1 species